GACUAGGGAGAUUAGGCAUGGGGACUCUGACUUGGGCACGGAUUUCCUUGGACCAAUAGGCAAUGUGUUGUGGUCACUGAGCCUCAGAGCCAGACAGGUCUUAAGUGAUCUGUCCGAGCUUUUCAUUUUAUGGAGAGAGGAAGUGCCUUCUUCUCUAAGGUCAUUCAGCUAAUCAGCUCAUCGGGGAAGCAAGAUUCAAGGUGGGAAGCAGAUGAGCAGAUGAGGGGUGCAGCCUGGCCUGGGAAAGAGGGCUGGAAUUCCAAGGAGGUACCUGAGACCCUAGCUCAGAGCCCCCUUCUUGGGCUUGUGGGUGAUGCAGCUGCUCUGAGCCACAAGAUCCUUGAUCUACAUUGCUGUUGCCUGGGCCCUUGGGCUUUCCUGGGGUGACCUCUGUCUAGACCUAUAUCCAGUUGGUAUUACAGAGAGUUGGUUGAGGGACAGAACAGGGAAAAUGAUCCCUUUUCUUGCUGGCCCUGGAACAGCCACAGGAAAGGAAGAAAGGAGCUGAGGCUGGGCCUCUGAGAACAGAACACAGUCAGUGCCUUACUCUUCCCUCACAGGCUCUGCAAGCUUCACUGCUCUGUGUCCAGGCAACCAUCCCAUGGUUUGGUUUGAAAUUCCCCUCCCUCCCCAGCCCAGCGCUCAGUGCUGUGGAUUACUCCAAUUAUACUGCUGGCUGAUUAGCCCUUAGUGGAGGAGAAAAACAGCUGGGGGAGGGGUGCAGAGCAGGUACAUUUAGAAGGUGGAACAGGCACAGGAAGAGAAAUCCAGGAGGGGAGUCUUCAUAGGGGCUCCUUGGCAACCAAGGGCACCCUCUGAGGACAUUAUGCAGCUGUUGGUGGGGAGGGGCGGCAGGCAUGCAGGGGCUGGACCACAGGCCGCAGGGGCUGAGUCUGAUGCAGCUGCAGCUCUGCAGCGAGAGGUGUACUGUUGCUGAGGCGGCCUCAGUGAGUCCUGCACUAACUUGUCCAGAAUAAUACACUCUGGGGGGCCCAGCCCCAUCCUGCAAGGUGCUGAGGAAUCAGCCCCACCAGUAGGGACUUGGAAAUUGGUGAUAAAGCACAAAAACUCUCUCAUUCCCCUCUUCCCAGCUUUCUAAGCAUAAAGGUGCCACCCUUCCCUGAUUUCCAAAGGCUCAGGCCACAGAUGCAGGAAACUGAAAUGAAAAAAUAUGCUUGGGACUUAGGUAAGCCAUUUCUGACAGUGCCUUCACCCUCAGCCAGCCUCCCCAGUGUGGAGCUGCAAAGGCUUCUCUCUGUUUAGUGCAGCAAUCACACUUUGUUUCCCUCCCUUCAAGCUCUGGCCUAUUGAUGUUUCCAUGUUAUUGUUCUCCACAUCCCACUGCAGAAUAGAACUCGCUUCUCUAAUCCAGGGUCUCUGCCUCAUGUUUCAGAUUGGGGGAUCUGAUGUCCUUAAAAACCCCCAUCAGGACGAGGUGUGGUGAUGCACACUUGCAAUCCCAGCACUCAGGAGGCUGAGGCAGGAAGAUCGCCAUGAGUUCAAGGCCAGCCUGAACUACAUAGUGAGACUUUGUUUCAAGAAACCAAAACAGAAAAAGGAGGAGGGAAAAGACCCCCAUCAGUCCUUAGCCCCUCUAUCCCCUUCCCUUGGCUCCAUCAUGAUUCUUUCUUUUGGUUGCUGCUGUCCGAAGACUGAACAGCUUUGUUCAUCCUUUCUUUUAACAAAUAUUUAUUGAAUGCCUACUUUCUGCCUGGUGUUGUGCUAGUCA
rnacentral:lncRNA from 1 species